rnacentral:rRNA from 1 species
GCGCGGUAAUACGGAGGGUGCAAGCGUUAUCCGGAAUCACUGGGUUUAAAGGGUGCGUAGGCGGCUUGAUAAGUCAGAGGUGAAAGCCCGCAGCUUAACUGCGGAACGGCCUUUGAUACUGUUGAGCUUGAAACAGGACGAGGUUGGCGGAAUGUGGCAUGUAGCGGUGAAAUGCAUAGAUAUGCCAUAGAACACCGAUUGCGAAGGCAGCUGGCUAGACCUGAUUUGACGCUGAGGCACGAAAGCGUGG